rnacentral:lncRNA from 1 species
UUGUAUUAUCAAUACCAUUAAGUUGCUAUUAUUAUUACUAUAGUAUCACAUUGUUAUUCGAAUAAGUUAUGUAUAAAAUUAGAAAAUUUUAUACAAUCGUUUAUUGAUUAUCUAAAAAAAAUGAGCAAGAUUAAUACAGAUUACUUUUACGAAUAUUUAAAAUCCACAUCGUACAAAUACAUUUCGAUAAAAGUAUAAUUAUACUAAAUAGCUAAGAAUUAAAUUGAGAUUUUUUAAACAAUGGAUAUUCGAGAACAUUAGAUAUUUGAAUCGUAAGUAUUUAUCAUAUAGUUUGAUUCCGUAACACAAACACUGACAAAAUAACGAGUCUGUGCUGUGUGACUUGCUUCACUCUGUCGUUUAAUAUACUGUCAAACUUUUGACAGUUCGUCGUAUUUGACAGUUUUUCAAAAACUUUUGACAGUUCCCCGUAUUUGAAAAAUAGAAAUGUUUGAGAAACAAAAUUUGACUAAGAAAGAGAAAACGAGCCAGUUCCCGUAUUUGAAAAAUGAAAGAAAUUUGAUAGAGAAAGAAAAAGAGAUUAGUGUGAGAGGUAGAAGGUGCUGUAAAUAAUAAAGUAUAAUAUUAGGUAUCUUAGAAUUUGACAUUUCGCGUAAUAAUCUCUAUUCUUUCCUUAGAGGAUAGCGAAAAUAUAGUUCAUAAGCGUACAUUGACCGACAAUAGAGAAAGUUUGAAAAGUAAAUGUAUUAUCAUUUAUAAUUAAAAUUUUUUUUUUAAAUAUAUCUUUCAGAAAGAAAGAAGUUUGAUCGGAAAAAGAUAGGUAGAUAGAUAAAUUAAUAGUUUGAAAAAGAGAGCGAGAAAUUAUGUUUGGCAAGUAAUUAGAAGGAGACAGCGAGUGAGAGAGCUUUAGAGAAGAAAUAACAGUCUUUCAAUUCGCCAUAUAGGAUAGGUAGCGAUUAUAAUAUAUAAUAAACAUUAGUAAUUUAAUUAUGUUGGAGAUGAUUCGAGAGCGCAUGUUUAAAGGGAAACUGUACUGAAGGCAAACUACCUUAUGUAAUACAUACGACGGAAUAACUUCCAAAAAAGUAGAAAAAAUAAAAAUAAUGCUUGUGCUGUACAGUGUCAGUAAUGCACACUUAUAGAACACGAUUAUGUAUGUACAUUUGCAUAAAAUAGAUUUUGAAAAAUAAAUGCAUAUAAUUGUAAAAUUUAUGGAUAUAGCAUGAAACAGAACUAAAUAAUUGUGGACAUAGUACGGAAGAAAUCCAAAAAGUCGUGUACAUUACCUACGGGAUUCGUGAACAUUUGACUACAUAGUUCAAUGUGCACAUAGAGGCGCUGAUAGACGGAACACCUAGGGUGCGUUCGGGAAGACGCUAUUAGCGCUACCAGCAGUGGUGCAAGAUCGUGGGACUUCUCGCGCACGCGCAGUAACGUCAGUCCGAACAGCCACUCAGUAGCGUACGUAUUCUUUUGAAGAGAAUGGUAUUAUUAGGAUCUUUACAGGAAAGUCUAGGAAUCACACACAUAUAAAAAACGUAUAGGAAAUGUAAAAAAUGGAACAAAAAUCUUUAUCAAUAAAAUAAUAUGGCAUA